GUUUUGUUUUGUUUGUCUUUUCUUGUGUUUUGGGGUCCCAUAUUAUUAUGCCUUUUGACCGUAUAUAUUUUAUUUUUAUUUUUGUUUUGUGACUUUUCUGAUUGAUGUUUAUCAUAUGACAAUGGAACCUUUAAAUCAAUCCUUGGUUUGAUAAUGGCGCAAGCCGAAACAUGUAACCGGAUGAUUUGAAUACAAGGUUCCACCACUGAAGUGCUU